rnacentral:rRNA from 1 species
GACGAACGCUGGCGGCGUGCCUAAUACAUGCAAGUAGAACGCUGAAGAGAGGAGCUUGCUCUUCUUGGAUGAGUUGCGAACGGGUGAGUAACGCGUAGGUAACCUGCCUUGUAGCGGGGGAUAACUAUUGGAAACGAUAGCUAAUACCGCAUAACAAUGGAUGACACAUGUCAUUUAUUUGAAAGGGGCAAUUGCUCCACUACAAGAUGGACCUGCGUUGUAUUAGCUAGUAGGUGAGGUAAUGGCUCACCUAGGCGACGAUACGUAGCCGACCUGAGAGGGUGAUCGGCCACACUGGGACUGAGACACGGCCCAGACUCCUACGGGAGGCAGCAGUAGGGAAUCUUCGGCAAUGGGGGCAACCCUGACCGAGCAACGCCGCGUGAGUGAAGAAGGUCUUCGGAUCGUAAAGUUCUGUUGUAAGUCAAGAACGGGUGUGAGAGUGGAAAGUUCACACUGUGACGGUAGCUUACCAGAAGGGGACGGCUAACUACGUG